rnacentral:rRNA from 1 species
UGGUGGAGUGAUUUGUCUGGUUAAUUCCGUUAACGAACGAGACCUUAGCCUGCUAACUAGUUAUGUCAAUUUGCAUUGACACUAGCUUCUUAGAGGGACUUUGUGAAUCAACACAAGGAAGUUUGAGGCAAUAACA